UUGACCUCGGAUCAGGUAGGGAUACCCGCUGAACUUAAGCAUAUCAAUAAGCGGAGGAAAAGAAACCAACAGGGAUUGCCUCAGUAACGGCGAGUGAAGCGGCAAGAGCUCAAAUUUGAAAGCUGGCCCCUUCGGGGUCCGCAUUGUAAUUUGCAGAGGAUGCUUCGGGAGCGGCCCCCAUCUAAGUGCCCUGGAACGGGCCGUCAUAGAGGGUGA
rnacentral:rRNA from 2 species